ACUUAAAGAUUUCUAGGAAGGCUCCGACUGACUCGCCAUGGUGCAUGGGUCACUCGGUAUCGCAUCCACUCGGAGACUUUCUCCCUCCACUCGACGGAAGACUUUCACUCAGAAGAACUAGAAGCUAGUCGAUCGCAGAAGAUUAGAAGCUACUCGAGGGAGGCCAACAAGCGGGCAUUCGACUGGUCGUCAUAAAUAACAUUUAUUACAUUCAGUAACAUACACCUUUAUCUCUACUAAUCGAACCCUUGGUUGCCCGGUCUUGAUGAGGGGUAGCGCACUCUAUAUAAACCAUCCCUCUCCUCUGGCACAAGGGUUCACAUCCCGU
rnacentral:lncRNA from 1 species